GACGAACGCUGGCGGCGUGCUUAACACAUGCAAGUCGAACGAAGUGGCGAACGGGUGAGUAAUACGUGGGUAACCUGCCCUCCUUUUUGGGAUAAGCCUUGGAAACGGGGUCUAAUACCGAAUAAAGGGGGAUGGGCUCGCGGCCUAUCAGCUUGUUGGUGGGGUGAUGGCCUACCAAGGCGGGGACGGGUAGCCGGCCUGAGAGGGGGAACGGUUACGUUGGGAAUGGGGUGCGGGCCAGAGUCCUGCGGGGGGCCGAAGUGGGGGGUAUUGCAAAAAGGGGCAAAGGCGGAUGCAGGGAGGGCGGCGGGGGGAUGAAGGCUUUUGGGUUGUAAACCUUGUUCGCUGUCGAACGGGUAGGUGGAGAAGAAGCGCCGGCUUACUACGUGCCAGCAGCCGCGGUAAUAC
rnacentral:rRNA from 1 species